GCGACAAAGAGUGUGAGAGACACUCUCGCCGAAAGUCCAAGGGUUCCUGCUUAAAGCUAAUCUGAGCAGGGUGAGCCGACCCCUAAGGCGAGGCCGAAAGGCGUAGUCGAUGGGAACCAGGUUAAUAUUCCUGGGCCAGAUGGAAGUGACGGAUCUCGAGGGUAGUUCAUUCUUAUCGGAUUGAAUGGGCUGCUUAGAGGUUCCUGGAAAUAGCUCUUACAUAAGAUCGUACCCUAAACCGACACAGGUGGACUGGUAGAGAAUACCAAGGCGCUUGAGAGAACUAUGUUGAAGGAACUCGGCAAAAUACCUCCGUAAGUUCGCGAGAAGGAGGCCCGGUUCCAAGGCAACUUGGAGCUGGGGGCACAAACCAGGGGGUGGCGACUGUUUACUAAAAACACAGGGCUCUGCGAAGUCGCAAGACGACGUAUAGGGUCUGACGCCUGCCCGGUGCCUGAAGGUUAAAAGGAGGAGUGCAAGCUCCGAAUUGAAGCCCAGGUAAACGGCGGCCGUAACAAUAAC
rnacentral:rRNA from 15 species